rnacentral:rRNA from 1 species
GAUGAACGCUAGCUACAGGCUUAACACAUGCAAGUCGAGGGACCGGCGCACGGGUGAGUAACACGUAUCCAACCUGCCCUUUACUCGGGGCUAGCCUUUCGAAAGAAAGAUUAAUACCCGAUAUAAAGGAUGGGGAUGCGUUCCAUUAGGUUGUGGGUGAGGUAACGGCCCACCAAGCCUUCGAUGGAUAGGGGUUCUGAGAGGAAGGUCCCCCACAUUGGAACUGAGACACGGUCCAAACUCUUACUCGAGGCAGAAGUGAGGAAUAUUGGUCAAGUGGCGGUAGCCUGAACCAGCCAAGUAGCGUGAAGGAUGAAGGCGUAUGUGUCGUAAACUUCUUUUAUAGAAGAAUAUGUAUUAUAUGAAUAAGGAUCGGCUAACUCCGUGCCAGCAGCCGCGGUAAUAC